UCGAGAAUUUUUCACAAUGGGGGAAACCCUGAUGGAGCGACGCCGCGUGGGGGAUGAAUGGCUUCGGCCCGUAAACCCCUGUCAUUUGCGAUCAAAGCGCAUUAUUUAAAAGAUGAUGUGUUGAUAGUAGCGGAAGAGGAAGGGACGGCUAACUCUGUGCCAGCAGCCGCGGUAAUACAGAGGUCCCGAGCGUUGUUCGGAUUCACUGGGCGUAAAGGGUGCGUAGGUGGUGGGGUAAGUCGGAUGUGAAAUCUCGGAGCUUAACUCCGAAACGGCAUUGGAAACUGCCCUGCUUGAGGGUUGGAGGGGGGACUGGAAUACUUGGUGUAGCAGUGAAAUGCGUAGAUAUCAAGUGGAACACCGGUGGCGAAGGCGAGUCCCUGGACAACACCUGACACUGAGGCACGAAAGCUAGGGGAGCAAACAGG
rnacentral:rRNA from 1 species